rnacentral:rRNA from 1 species
UCCCAGACUCCUACGGGAGGCAGCAGUGGGGAAUAUUGCACAAUGGGGGAAACCCUGAUGCAGCGACGCCGCGUGAGUGAAGAAGUAUCUCGGUACGUAAAGCUCUAUCAGCAGGGAAGAAAAUGACGGUACCUGACCAAGAAGCCCCGGCUAACUACGUGCCAGCAGCCGCGGUAAUACGUAGGGGGCAAGCGUUAUCCGGAUUUACUGGGUGUAAAGGGAGCGUAGACGGCAGCGCAAGUCUGGAGUGAAAUCCCCGCGCUCAACGUGGGAACUGCCUUUGAAACUGGCAAACUGGAGUGUGUGAGAGGAUAGUGGAAUUCCAGGUGUAGGAGUGAAAUCCGUAGAUAUCUGGAGGAACAUCAGUGGCGAAGGCGACUAUCUGGCACAUAACUGACGCUGAGGAGCGAAAGCGUGGGUAGCAAACAGGAUUAGAUACCCCGGUA